UACAGAGGUCCCAAGCGUUGUUCGGAUUCAUUGGGCGUAAAGGGUGCGUAGGCGGCGCGGGAAGGCGGGUGUGAAAUCUCGGAGCUUAACUCCGAAACUGCAUUCGAUACUGCCGUGCUUGAGGACUGGAGAGGAGACUGGAAUUUACGGUGUAGCGGUGAAAUGCGUAGAUAUCGUAAGGAAGACCAGUGGCGAAGGCGGGUCUCUGGACAGUUCCUGACGCUGAGGCACGAAGGCCAGGGGAGCAAACAGG
rnacentral:rRNA from 1 species